GGAGAGAUGGCAGAGCGGUUUAAUGCAGCGGUCUUGAAAACCGCCGUGGGGAAACCCACCGUGGGUUCGAAUCCCACUCUCUCCG
rnacentral:tRNA from 1 species